rnacentral:rRNA from 1 species
CUAAUACAUGCAAGUCGAGCGGACAGAAGGGAGCUUGCUCCCGGAUGUUAGCGGCGGACGGGUGAGUAACACGUGGGUAACCUGCCUGUAAGACUGGGAUAACUCCGGGAAACCGGAGCUAAUACCGGAUAGUUCCUUGAACCGCAUGGUUCAAGGAUGAAAGACGGUUUCGGCUGUCACUUACAGAUGGACCCGCGGCGCAUUAGCUAGUUGGUGGGGUAAUGGCUCACCAAGGCGACGAUGCGUAGCCGACCUGAGAGGGUGAUCGGCCACACUGGGACUGAGACACGGCCCAGACUCCUACGGGAGGCAGCAGUAGGGAAUCUUCCGCAAUGGACGAAAGUCUGACGGAGCAACGCCGCGUGAGUGAUGAAGGUUUUCGGAUCGUAAAGCUCUGUUGUUAGGGAAGAACAAGUGCGAGAGUAACUGCUCGCACCUUGACGGUACCUAACCAGAAAGCCACGGCUAACUACGUGCCAGCAGCCGCGGUAAUACGUAGGUGGCAAGCGUUGUCCGGAAUUAUUGGGCGUAAAGGGCUCGCAGGCGGUUUCUUAAGUCUGAUGUGAAAGCCCCCGGCUCAACCGGGGAGGGUCAUUGGAAACUGGGAAACUUGAGUGCAGAAGAGGAGAGUGGAAUUCCACGUGUAGCGGUGAAAUGCGUAGAGAUGUGGAGGAACACCAGUGGCGAAGGCGACUCUCUGGUCUGUAACUG